AAGAGAAGAUGCCGACAGCAGAUGCUUUAUUUUGCGCCUUUCUGUCUUUUCAUAUUCGCGUGGCUUCGCCGCACCCCCGCCGGACCUGCACGGCCGCGCGGGUCUGCCGCAGUGCGCGCGCCCACCGCCUGUGUUGCUGUCUGUGCCCCCCCGCGUCGUCGCCACCUCCCUGCUUGCGAGAUUUCGCUUCCGCGUGGCUGCAGGGGAGACACGCGCGCACCGCGGCACGGAGCGGGGGCUCGAGCAACGGCACGAGCGUGCGAAGGGAGCAAGCUGCACACACGCACACACACACACACACACACACACACACACCACAAAUUACCAAGCGCGUUAUCUGUCGUCACCGCUAUACACACCGCGUCGCGCGGGCGGAGGCCGAAUCCUGCGUGCGCACCUCCCAAAGGCUGCCUCCUGACCCCCUGCCUCCCUGCCUCUCCGCCCUCUCCCCUCUUCCCUCUUCCCUCUUCCCUCUUCCAUCUGCACUCACUCUGCACUUUUUUUUCUUCUUCCCUUGCGCGCGCGUGACGCCGCGCUCUUCACCUGCGCGCCCCGCACCGACUUGGGCCCUCUCGUGCCACAACGGACGCGGACAG
rnacentral:misc_RNA from 1 species